AAAAAAAAAAAAAAGGAAUGAGCGGCCUUGUUUGUCUGUUCUUUCCCAUCUGCCCCCUCCCCCCUCCGUCUCUCUUUCACCUCCCUCUCUAUAUAUAGCAUGAGCAUUAUGGCCUUCUGAGUCACAGCCUUUUUCAUUCUCUCUCUCUUUUUCAACAUAUCUCCUCUGCUUCCCGCUCUUACAUUAUCUUCUUUUCUGUUGCCAAGCUUCAAAAACCAAGUUUUUAAGCCUCACGG
rnacentral:misc_RNA from 1 species